AUUGAACGCUGGCGGCAUGCCUUACACAUGCAAGUCGAACGGUAACAGGUUAAGCUGACGAGUGGCGAACGGGUGAGUAAUAUAUCGGAACGUGCCCAGUCGUGGGGGAUAACGUAGCGAAAGCUACGCUAAUACCGCAUACGAUCUACGGAUGAAAGCGGGGGAUCGCAAGACCUCGCGCGAUUGGAGCGGCCGAUAUCAGAUUAGCUAGUUGGUGGGGUAAAAGCUCACCAAGGCGACGAUCUGUAGCUGGUCUGAGAGGACGACCAGCCACACUGGAACUGAGACACGGUCCAGACUCCUACGGGAGGCAGCAGUGGGGAAUUUUGGACAAUGGGCGCAAGCCUGAUCCAGCAAUGCCGCGUGCAGGAUGAAGGCCUUCGGGUUGUAAACUGCUUUUGUACGGAACGAAACGGUCCUUUCUAAUACAAGGGGCUAAUGACGGUACCGUAAGAAUAAGCACCGGCUAACUACGUGCCAGCCGCCGCCGUAAAAC
rnacentral:rRNA from 1 species